GCUGCGAUAGCUCAGUUGGUAGAGCGCCGCCAUGGUAAGGCGGAGGUCAUGGGUUCAAUUCCCAUUCGCAGCUCCA
rnacentral:tRNA from 5 species